AUUGAACGCUGGCGGCAGGCUUAACACAUGCAAGUCGAGCGGGGUGAUGGUGCUUGCACUAUCACUUAGCGGCGGACGGGUGAGUAAUGCUUAGGAAUCUGCCUAUUAGUGGGGGACAACAUCUCGAAAGGGAUGCUAAUACCGCAUACGUCCUACGGGAGAAAGCAGGGGAUCACUUGUGACCUUGCGCUAAUAGAUGAGCCUAAGUCGGAUUAGCUGGUUGGUGGGGUAAAGGCCUACCAAGGCGACGAUCUGUAGCGGGUCUGAGAGGAUGAUCCGCCACACUGGGACUGAGACACGGCCCAGACUCCUACGGGAGGCAGCAGUGGGGAAUAUUGGACAAUGGGGGGAACCCUGAUCUAGCCAUGCCGCGUGUGUGAAGAAGGCCUUAUGGUUGUAAAGCACUUUAAGCGAGGAGGAGGCUCUUUUGGUUAAUACCCAAGAUGAGUGGACGUUACUCGCAGAAUAAGCACCGGCUAACUCUGUGCCAGCCGCCGCUGUAA
rnacentral:rRNA from 1 species